UCCUACGGGACGCAGCAGUAGGGAAUUUUCGGCAAUGGGCGCAAGCCUGAACGAGCAAUGCCGCGUGAACGAGGAAGGUCUUCGGAUCGUAAAACUCUGUUGAAGGGGAAAAAGAACGGAGAGAGGAACUGGUCUCCGCUUGAUAUUAUCCAUCGAGGAAGUCACGGCUAACUACGUGCCAGCAGCCGCGGUAAUACGUAGGUGGCGAGCGUUAUCCGGAAUGAUUGGGCGUAAAGCGUGCGUAGGCGGC
rnacentral:rRNA from 1 species